AAGUCGUAACAAGGUAACCGUAGGUGAACCUGCGGUUGGAUCAUUAAUAAAAUCUUUAUAUUGUUAAGUGUAAAAAAUAAUUUUUUAAUUAAAAUUAUUUUUUACCUUUUCAAACAUUUUGUGAACUUUAUUUUGAUUGGGAUUAAAUUUAUUUUUAACCUAAUCAUUAUUUAAACAUUUUAAAAUAUAUAUAUGUCUAAAAAAAAUAAAAAAUUUUGUUUUAUUACAAAUUUUUAAAUUAUUAUUUAAAAUUUAAAACAACUUUUGACAACGGAUCUCUAGGCUCUCA
rnacentral:misc_RNA from 1 species